GCGUGAGUGAAGAAGGCCCUAGGGUUGUAAAACUCUUUCAGUGGGGACGAUGAUGACGGUACCCGCAGAAGAAGCCCCGGCUAACUCCGUGCCAGCAGCCGCGGUAAUACGGAGGGGGCUAGCGUUGUUCGGAAUCACUGGGCGUAAAGCGCGCGUAGGCGGUUCGCAAAGUCAGGCGUGAAAGCCCCGGGCUCAACCUGGGAACUGCGCUUGAAACUAACGAACUAGAGUCCGGGAGAGGGUAGUGGAAUUCCCAGUGUAGAGGUGAAAUUCGU
rnacentral:rRNA from 1 species